UUUCCGUAGGUGAACCUGCGGAAGGAUCAUUAUUGUAUAACCGAGGUGCGAGGGCUGUCGCUGACCCGAAAGGUCGUGCACGCCCGAGUGCCCUCACACAUCCAUCUCACCCCUAUGUGCACCACCGCGUGGGUCCCCCUUUGGCUUGUUCGGAGGGGGGCUUACGCUUUCACACAAACUUUGUAUGCAGUGUAGAAUGUAUUUUUUGUUUUUGCGAUCACGCAAUCAAUACAACUUUCAACAACGGAUCUCUUGGCUCUC
rnacentral:misc_RNA from 1 species